AAAAAUUUGACUGAGAAAAUCGCUGAAAACAAUUAUUCGCGUCUGAUUUUGCAGUGUUGAACCGCUGCUUUAUUAUCAACUGGCAAAAUACCCAAUAUUAUAAACAAGUGUAAAAAAACUGAUGUUCCAGAUAAAGUGGUUAUAUGGGUUUUAUUAAACUGAUAAAUCGCCGGUUUCGGUCAGUUUUAAGAUGAGCUGGUGAAAAUGAUUUUGUACUUUUGUCUUUUUUUUACGCGGUUUUUUGAGAAUGGUUUCGAAUAGUCGUCAACUUUUCGAAGUAACUGUAAAAUGUGAUGUGUAGUGACUCUGACUUUGGUGUAUUAUUUUAGGAAAAUAGUAGACUUUUUUGCUCCAACAAUUUUUCGGGCUGUUCCAUCCUUGCAAACGGGUUCGAAUUUCACUCGUAGAUGGAAAGCUGGACUUAUGGAAGUGCCCUCUUCAUUGGUGGCUUCACAAGCAUACUGACCAGAACUACUUCGGCUGACACCCUGGAAUCAACAAUUUCCAGGUACCGCAAGUUGAUGUAACUUGCGAGUUUCGGUGGAACCUGCCACCUAAGCUUCCAUUCCCAUUGGAACCAUUAACUAGGAUCCGCUGAUGCCAAUGUUAAUAAUGUUAAUAAUGUUAAUUAAUAUAGGUACAAGUCAAUUUCAUGUAUUGUAUAAAUGCUUUUUUCUGUCAACUUUUGUAAAAUGUAAAAAAUAAACUGUUUAGAAAAUA